rnacentral:rRNA from 1 species
AUUUAAUUAUAAAUUUUAAUUUUUAAAUAAUUAUCAUAUUUUAAAUAAAAAUAUAAUAUUAUUUUUUUAUACCUUUUGUAUAAGGAAAAAUUUAUUAGUAAUAAAAUUUAUUAAAAUUUCUCGAAAAUUAUUUAAAUAAGAUUAUAUUUUUUUUAUAGAAAUAAAAAAUUUUAUUUAUGUUAUAUAAAUGAAAUAAUAUAACUAGUUAUUUUUAAAUCAAUUUUUUUUGGAAAAGCUAAAAUAUUUAACUAUUAUGUUUUUUUUUAAAAAAAAAUUUAAAUUAUUUUUUUUUUAUAAAAUCUAAUUUUAAAAUCAAAGUUUUUUGAAAAAAAUAAGAAAUUUGUUUAUUUUAAAAUAAUUUUAUUAGUAGAUAAAAAAAAACAAUUAAUUUAAUUUUUAAAAUUUAAUAAUAAAUAUAAUAUUUUUUUAAAUCAAAUUUUUUAAUUUUUAACAAAAUAUCAUUAAUAAAAAUUUAUUAUAAAUUCUGCUCCAUGAAAAGUUUAAAUAGCCGAUUUAUCGCUAAGGUAGCAUAAUCACUUGUUUCUUAAUUAGAAACUUGAAUGAAAGGAUAAAAAAAAAUUUAAAUAAAAUAUUUUAUUUAAAAAUUAAAAUUUUAUUAUUAAUGAAAAUAUUAAUGUAUUUUUUUAGACGGAAAGACCCUAUGAAUCUUUCUUUAAAAAAAAGUUUUUUGGGAGAAAAAUUAAUUUUAAUAUUUAAAUAAUUUAUUGAAAAGAACUUUUAUAAAAGAAUAAAUAUAAAGAUACUCUAGGGUUAACAGGAUAAAAUUUAAUUAAAGAACAAAUUUAUUAAAAUAUUAUUACCUCGAUGUUGGUUUUAUAAACUAAAAAUUGCAAUAAAUUUUUUUAGUUAGUCUGUUCGACUAUAAAAAUAUAACUUGAACUGAGUUCAAAUCGGUGUAAACCAGAUUGGAUCUUAUCUAAAAAAAAUUAUUUUAAGAAUAGUACGAAAGGAAAAUCUUAAAUAUAUUAUAUAA